UACGUAGGGGGCUAGCGUUGUCCGGAAUCAUUGGGCGUAAAGAGCGUGUAGGCGGCCCGGUAAGUCCGUUGUAAAAGUCAAAGGCUCAACCUUUGAAUGUCAGUGGAUACUGCCGGGCUAGAGUCCGGAAGAGGCGAGUGGAACUCCUGGUGUAGCGGUGGAAUGCGCAGAUAUCAGGAAGAACACCCGUGGCUAAGGCGGUUCUCUAGUACGGUACUGACGCUGAGACGCGAAAGCGUGGGGAGCGAACAGG
rnacentral:rRNA from 1 species